UGAAACAGGGAAGGCUCUCUGAUAUUUCUUUUCAGGUCAUACUUUGGUGGGGAGAGAAUAGAAACACAGAGAAGCUCAGAUUCUACAAUACAGUGAGGUGCCAGACUCCUACGUGUCAGAAAUUCCUCCGUGUGUUGGAGGGUCUGAGCAUGGCUUGGUUCACAUCACAAAGAAAGCAUGUGGCAGACUGGGGAAUGCAGACAAUGAAUUGGCCUGCUGUGCCUCCAGUGAAAAUGGGCUUGGAGGGCACGCAUUUAAUGACCGUCCAGAAACAAGAAGCAAAGGCAGUGAGCAGGAGGGUUUGGAAAAGAGUAGUGCAUUUCUUACGUAGGGUCUUUACUGGAUCAAACUAAGGUGUGGCUGUACCUGUCAGCAUGAAUUGUUACUGCACUCGGAAGAGGCUGUUCAUUGGAAGAUACUCAAAUUAAAAACAGAGUCCUGUAUUUUCAAGAACUGCAGGGCAAAGGGAAAGAAUAUUCAUACCAAACAUUUUUAACAUACAUAUAUUGGUAUUAUUGGCCCUAGCUCCUGACUCAGUGACAAAAGCAUAUGUGCAUAAAGUGAUUUCUUUGAGGUAAAGUUCAUUAUUCAGUCUGCGCAUGCUGAAUGUCUUGUGUUAACCUUCUCUUUAAGCUUAAGAGUAGACCUGCCACAGUCUCCAUACAUCUUGCCUUUCCUUUUGAAUCACAAAGGAUUCACUUCACUUAUAACAGCCCGACUAAACGUGGUGCAAUUCCAACACUACAAUAUAUAUAUGUAUAUAUAUAUAUAUUUAUAUAUAUAGUAUAUAUAUAAAAGAUGUAUCAAGUUUUUAAAAGAAAUUUCUGGAAGCUUAAACAUAGGAAUGAAGGAAUGAAGACUCAGGGCUUUGUGCAAAGCCCCGGGGACAGCCUGCGACUUUGCUGGAACAAAAGUUUCACUAUAAAUACAUUGCGAAAAGCAAACAUAAUGUAGAUAGGUUCAUUGUAUUUCUCUUGCACCUUCUCGCUUUUGUUUAAGUUUAAACCAAUCUUUUGGAACUAUGAGUCAUUUUCAGAACAGAGAGUGAUUCAGGAGAUGUAAUCUUUGUGUUUUAUAGGCCAGCAUCAUUAGAUAGGCCCUAUGCAAAUUAACAGAAACGUCGCUGAACAACAGUGACUGGCUUACCAUGUAUUUAUGGUUGCUUCUAACUCUCAGCCAGAAAACAUAAAUGUCUCUCUGGUGGAAACGUGUUUGGUGAGCAAUAACCCUCUCAGUUGGAGAAGAUCCAUCUGUCUUCCCUUCUACUUCAUGCAUCUUCACCACUGAAAAGAAGUUCAAGGAAAAUCAAGUUUCAGUUGUCAAAAAACCUGAUGCUUAAGAAUGAUUCUGUGAAAUAGACCAAAAAAAAAAGCAGCUGAAUAUUUUGUGGCUUAAUUUCAAGAUUCCCAUCGGUGCUAUAAAAAUACAAUUGAGUUUUAACUACUGCCUUCAUGCUAUCAAGAUGAUCCUGUAAAACUUAACUAUUUUGGUGUUUGCUAUUAUCUGAUUCUUUAGCAUGAAGAGGGAAGCAAAAGUAUUUUCCAAGAUUAUAUUAAUAUUUUCUUUCAGUUACAAGCUACAUCAAUUAAUUUCUUUAUAAACUCUACUAGAACAAGUUCCCACUGAUUCCUGGUUACUAUAAACAACAUCUGGGUACUGCACUGGUGCACAAGUUCUGUAAACACAUACUUUUAUAUCCAUCACAUCCUGAUGUUUCACAAGGAUAAAGCUGAUGUUCCCCUAAAAAAUAGAGAAGGCAGAUGCCUGUAGUGAUUUCACCGAAGUUACAACGUGAAGCAUGUGUGAUGUUAGGUACUUUACAGUACUUCUAAAGGGAGAAAGAAUGUGGCCGCAGAAAGGGAAUCCUGCCCGCAUGUUUGAUUCUUGAAAUGCACGUUAAAAGAUUUUUAUAUAUAAUAAAAGGCAAACAGUAAUAGAACCCCGCAGAUGGAGACAACUGUAGCACAGAGAGUGAAAAAUGUCUCACAGUCGGGCAGUGGCAGAACCAGCAAUGAAACACAAACCUCUUGCUCUGCUGGUUUACUCUCCAACUAAUUCACAUAAUAGGGGGUAGGGCUCUUUGCAGUGCUUCAGGCUGAUGGAGGUUACGCCUACAUAAAGUCCACACUUUUACCCUUGUACAAAGCCCCAAGCCCCUUUUACUUGCUUUUGGAGCCCUCACAGAGACCCUGUAGCUCAGAGGGGAUCUGAGUGUGGGUCAAACAGCAGAUAACAGCUGAGAAGGGUUUUAAGAAAAGGUUUCUGGCUGCUUCUUGGCUGUUUGCUUCCCGGCUGAGGAGGGAGCCCAUCUGUGCAAGCCUUCCUCCUUCAUUUCAGUGCUGGCAGCGAGCUGCAGUCUCUGCUUAGGAGCAGUGCCACGAGCUGUGCCUUCCAGGAACAGGAGAGGAUGCAGCGUGGCCGUGUGGGUGUGUGGUGCACCCUUUGGGCCCCAGACGCAGGGACAAGACAAGCACAAAAGGGAGAGUAGGAAAAUGGAAUAUGCACAACUGGUUUAAUGCCAUGGGUUGUACACGUUUCUGAUACCGGCGUUUGCACUCAUUACGUGAUGUGCUUUCUCUUUAAUGGAAUUCUCUUAGACGUGCUGCUGAUAGGCUCUCUUCCCAUCUCUCCUUGAAUUCAAACAUUAUGGCUGAUUGAAAAAUAAGCAUGCAUUUUUCUGCUUUUUUCUUCUUUCAGUGUUUUUUUUUGGUCAGGUGGAAACAAUGAGGUGAACUCAUUUGUGACAGGCCCUUCUUCAGGCCUCUCCAACGUGGUCUGUAACGAGGGCACAGUGGAAAUUCCACAAAGAAGCCCAGAAGCUUUUCAGUUUGGGCAACCGUGUUGUUGUCUGCGUUUUAUUCGCAUCAAUCAGGUUUUUUUCACACCCAUCUUAGCUUCUUAUUGGUACCACAAGUCAACGCUUGCUGGAAAACGCCACCCUUGGAAAACAACCUGUAACGUACGACUGCUGUCUCUUCGUGUAUUUUCUGCUCAGAUCUUAACAUGCGCUUCCUCUGAAGGCCACCAGCGAUAAUAUUCACUCCCUCUCCAGAACCACGGAUUGAUUACCCCAGUUCAGCUGUCAGGGAGCAGAAAGAAUUAAACCAAAGUCUCCUGGAUCCCAGGAAAAUGGCAUUACCGAUACCUCAACAUUUGGAGCAUCACUACAGUGUAUGCCCACUUAGGACAUAGUGCCAAACUUUGCCUCACGCACUAAGAGGUGUUCUUCUGAGUGCUGCUGAGCUUGGCUGAGCACAGGAAGGUUAAAGCGAAUAGCGGCAGCUCCUCUGUGAGGAGGAAGAUCUGCAUCACGAAGCUAUGACAGAUAUCCAAGCACAUUUGUAGUCUGUGUGGAGAAUCUUCCUUUUGCACUGACCCCUCUCACAGGGCGUCAGAAAAUUUCUUCUGGGAUCACAUAUUUCUUUCCAGUCUGCUUUAGGCUGCCGGGUGUUGCAUAUUAUGAGAGUAAAUUUCCAAGGCCUUAGCCCUGCAUGGACUAUGUUUGAAACUAUGACAUCCAUUCCUAGGGUCCAGUACCUAAAACAUAUUUCUAGGCCUGUAUGUGGAUUCAAAAGAGAGGUAAAAUCUUUUGCCUGCUUGAGAUGCUCCAGUGUCAGCCAGAUCAAGCUUCCAGCAAACUGUGAGAACGGCAGGCCAUUUCCUUUAUAUAGGGGGAAAACACAGAGGAAGAGUUUGAUUAAGCUGCUGAAGUGAUUGAUAUAGCCGGUUGCUGUGGCCCUGGCUGCUGGCCAGCAACACUGGGCAGCCGGGAAGUGAUGGAAGCACGACGACUUGGGGAAAGCAGAUAAUGGGCAAGUAAAUUGUAUGGCAUGUCCGUAAAUACAGGAAAUUCCUGUCCUGAAGACACAGCCUUCUUUGCCUUAAUAUUAUACAUGAAUCCUCUUGCUGGGUGGAUGAUGGCACGAAGGAGAAAAUUAACUUUCAGAGUCAAAACAAGAAGUGUGACAUAUUUCUUGUGCAAUGAUGAAGGGAUCUAUGCUCUCCUGGAGAGCACAAAGCUUUAACCUCCGACAGCCUCUGCUGGGAGGGCUGAGAAGCAACUGAGGCCACAGCUCUGCUGAGUUUGCACCAGAGAGUCUUAAUUUCUUUACAGGGCUCUUUGUGAGACUUGCAAUAGACAAGGGCCCAAUCUUAGUCUCUCUGGCCCCAAACCAAGUGCAUUGCAGUUGAUUCUCCAUCCCACCAACCUCCUCUGAGCUCCACUGGGAAUCAGCUACUGACAUUUGCACUGUGCCUGGAAUGUGAGCAGCACUGUGCUAAAUCAGCGCUGGGGCAAUGUUGCCAGCUCCUAUUUUUUAUGAAGAAAGCAUGAGAGUGCUUGAAAUGUUCCUUGAAGGCUGUGCUUGUGGAUCCAUGAGAGCGCUCGCAUCUGAAAGUUUCUUAAGAAAGGGGAAAAAGAAAAAGAAGUUGAAAAUAUGGACAUGAACCAAAUGCAAAAAAUCAGAAGAGAACCAAACAAUAUAAAAUAGAACAUGCUGUUUAACACUCACGAUUUCUGUGGCGUGGUCAAUCACUUUUCAAUGCCUGGGCUCAGCAGAAGUGGAGGAAUUACAGAAAAGUAUGGACAACAUUUCUUGCAGCUCUUUCUGAGGGAAGAAAGAACUGAGGAACAAAGGGAACAUGAGAAGGCCUUUGUCUAUUUCUCAGUGGGUGACCAUGCCAGUCACUGAGUGAGACAGAAGGCAGCAGUGUGUGCCUGGUGGCCCUUGGAGCUUCAGGCCAUUCAGAGGAUGAUUGAACGGCCAUGGCUAGAGCCUGGGAGAGCAGAAUGUGUUGGGCAAUAAUAUCGGCCUGGUCUGUGUGACUGGGCAGCUGUCCUCAGACAACCAGCUCAUUUCACUGAAUGCCCCUCUGAUGGCAAUAACUUCUAGCCCCCACUAACUGCAAAUGGAUGGAGAUGGGUGACCUGGAGGUGAGAGGUGCCAUCUUCCAUUCCAGUGCUCUGAGUCACUUGCUGGCUCCUCACAAUGAGCUCUCUGUGCUGCUUUGAGGGAUGCUUUUGCCUUGCUGCUCUCCAGCACUGGUCGUAGGCCGCAGUUGGAACAAAUGGGCUGUUUUCAACAAACCCUUCCCCUCUGGCCCCUUGUUUAUUUUAGAGGGCAUGGUAGUAUGUAAUGUGUAGCCUCAGCAUUUGCUGAUCACAAAGAUCUCUCUUAGUUUCACUCGCCUUGACAAUCCAGACCUUUGCAAUAGCCUGGGGACUGUACAGUUCACACCAGAGUAUGUGCUGUGGACUACCAGAGAGGAGCAAACACAGGCUGCAAGUAAAGAGACUCUGCAGGAUACUACUGGGCCCUGGGCAACCUGAUCUAGUGCCUGGUUGGCAACUUUGCCCAUGGUGUGUGUUUGGGGGGGGGAGCUAGGUUAUGUUUGAAGUCCCUUCCAACACAAGCCAUUCUAUGAAGCUAUGAUUCUAUGAUUCUACUGCCUGAAUAUAAAAUGGAGAAGAAGACACUUGUGUAUUCUACUGGCACUGGUCUAGCUGAAGUCAGUGGCAGUGGUGUGCUGAUGACUGAUAUGUUUACAUGCAUGCGGAAAUAUGGCUCAUUAUUUCCACCAUCCAAUUCCACUAUUGAACUGCUCCCCUCCUUGUUUAGACAGACACCGUGUGCUGUGUCAGAGCAGGACAGACGUGGUGUGAAAAACCUGCAGCACGUAAGCCAUGUUAAGAAAACGUUAUACUUCAGCCCAGUCCUUCACUGUGCCAAAAACAUGGAAAACUUGUUAACUGAAAUGAGAAGAAUAAGGAAAGACUGCAUGAAGCUCCCUCCUAAUAUUUCCCAUCCAUUGUGCUUCAUUUUUUUUCUGUUCUGAGGCACUGCCUUUGCCUGAAGUGCCACACUGAAGUGCUAAUGCUUACGUGUAUGUUUGCUCUGCUUGGUUACAACAAUGCCUUCAUGCUGUUUAUUUUUGCGAAAUAAAUGUGAACCUCUGUAGGGCCCUGGUGCCCUUGUGUUUUGCAGCAAAGGUCAGGAGUCUAUUCAUAAGACUUCCAAAGUGUUAUUGUUAAAACAUCACUUUGCUAUGUCACUGUUUUCCCUUUCCUCUCCUCACUCAAAAUAAUACAUUGUCAUUAGCAGCUCAUAACCCUCUCUGUCUAAGCACAGCAUAUUCAGCUUUCCUUGAUUUUUUUCCCAAGCUUCCUUCCUAUUUAAACAAAGAAUUGUUUUCAUCAGUUUGGGCUCAAAUAUUCCUAGCCUUGCUGUCAUGAAAAAAAAAAUAUGACUCUGUUUUAUGCCACAAUUUCUAAUCGCUGCAGUUUUAUUGCUGUUACGAGCAUUGUGAUUUAUUCCAACAGGAACAUAUGUUCUUAUAUUGGCAUUCUUGCAGUGUUCACUCUGACCUUUGUGAGAGCCUAUCUGUGGAUAAUGUGACCAAAACUUUAGGCUUUUAAUAUGUUUGUCAGCUUAUGAAUCCCUGUAAAUGAUACCUGAACAAGAAGGGAGAAUGAGAGAAAGAUGUGCUAUUGUAACUCAGUAACUGUGUGUGUUGCUGGCUCCUGUACUAAUAACUCAAGGUUUGUCAGUUACACCACGUAUAUUGAUUUCAGAAGUCUUUAACUUAGCAUUUAAUUUCUUACUCAAUGACUUUUAAAGUCAGAAAGAUCCACCUGAUUAUUCAAAAUGCCAUUUUCAGUGGUGUGGACUCAAAGUUAUUACUGAAGCAAUCUUUAUUCUGAGCCUAGCAUGGCGUCCCUGACCAAAUUUCAUCCCAUGUCAAAGUUACUGGUCCUCCAUCUAAGCAUACAUACUGAGUAAACCCAAAACUUGCUCACCGCAUGCCAGAAGUUGACCAUAUUCAUUGUUAAAGAAUGUACAUACUUCUUCAGAUUUAUCUAUGUUGAUGUCUUGAAACUACUGGUUUCAGUGCAUUCUUUUACAUUAGAAAAUUGUAUUUUUCCCUCUGAGAGCAUUUAUUCACUCUAAGCAGACCUCUGGGUCUUCAUUUUGAUAAACAGAAUAGAGGAAGCUCUGUAGGUGUCUUAGUUAGCAGGGCAAAUUCUGUACCUGAUGAAUAAUAAGGAAAUUCAACCCUGCCAACUUCUGUAAGGGAUCAACAGACUGAGAGUAGCUAGUGUCCAUAUUGCAUCAGGUAUUGCCAAGCUGUCCCUGGAAGUCUUGUUAGUAAGUUGAAGAGCUGUGUGUAAUGACUGGUUUUGAAAUCAGUGUCUUUGAUCUCUUAAUCAACGACUGGCAUAUAAAAGAACAGGGCCAUUAGCAAAAGUUUUCAAUUGACAGUUAUGCUGAGGCUGAAGGUCAGCUGGAAAAAGGAAAUUAAUGGAACAUUCAACUGAAGUUAUUAGUCAGGCAUAUUGUUAUGGGUGGUUUUGGAAGUACAGCAUUUGAAAGAACAGCCUGGUCUAGUAUUAAAUGGGGAGGUUGGUGGCCCUGCCUGUGGCAGGGGGGUUGGAACUUGAUGAUCCUUGAGGUCCCUUCCAACCCAAGUCGUUUUAUGACAAUAUUCGUUCCUUUUUUUUUCCACUUUUGUGAAACUACUGCUGUGAUUUUUGAGGGAAAUGUGAUUUACGUGAUCACAGCAACUGUCUCUCCAACUCUCUGCCGUAGGUUAUGAAAUCUUUGGCUGGUCCUAUUUUUUGGGGAGAUACCUGGGAGGAGGUUAGACAGGUCUGUGUUGCUGCAGAAGGAGAGGCAGGUAUAACUCAGCCAUCCAACACUCUCCUUGAUGGUAGCAGCUGACCCAUCAGCAUAUGCGCAGGGCUGGCUGGCUAACACACACACAAGCUUUUUCUUUGGGGUGAUAAGGAGGAGGCAGCAGCAAGUGUUUUAGAGGCUGAAUUGGGCUAUUGCAUUAGUGAUGCUGGAAUAAAGGAACAAAGGAUACGUUUUCAUAGGAAACCAAUCUUCCUGUGGAGUUUUAUGAACUGCAAAACUAAUCAUGAACUGUGGGCAUGGAUACUGUGUGGAGUGUUGCAUGCUCAGAAGAGAUAAUUUCCUGUAAAUCAGAUAUAGAUGUCACAAAAUUAAAGAUGCUACCUGUGUCAGUUGCUAGUGGCUAUAAGAAAGAUAUUUGCUGUUUUUGGAUUUUUAUAUCUCUAUGACUUUGUUGAUAUGAGUGAAUGAUUAUUUGUCUAAAAAUGUGGUCUGCAUUAUACAACACUCUAUAGUGCUGUGAAUAGGAGUCUGCAGGCUGAGGCAGGCAAGAGAUUUCUCUGUGAUUAUAUAUAUAUAUCUGCCAUAACACAAAUGGAAUAAAAUAUUCCUACCAGCUCUGACUGUCAUCCACUUCUGGUAAUUAAUAUAUUUUGUGAUGACUUUUACUGUCCCCACAAUGAAUUAUUAUCCUACCUAUUGCCUUAAAUGAUUAGUAACACAAAUUCCAAUAUCCUGGCCCAUUAUACUGACAAGCCAGCAAUUAUAUAUCCAAAUGUAUGGACUCGCAAGAUAGGCCAUCAUCUCUUGGAGAAACAAGUUCAGAG
rnacentral:lncRNA from 1 species